GCCUUUAUGAUGGAAUGGUAGACAUAUCGACUUCAAAAGUCGACGCUUAAAGCGUACCGGUUCGAAUCCGGUUAAAGGCA
rnacentral:tRNA from 1 species